CACACCGCCAGUCACACCAUGGGAGUUGGUUUUACCUUAAGACGGUGUGCUAACCAGCAAUGGAGGCAGCCGGCCACGGUAAGGUCAGCGACUGGGGUG
rnacentral:rRNA from 1 species